UCGGUAUGUACUGGCUUUACUGAUUCCUCCUUCUUGACGAACCGUGAUGUCAUUAAUUUGGUGUUGCGGGAAAUCAGGACUGUUACUUUGAAAAAAUUAGAGUGUUUAAAGCAGGCUAACGCUUGAAUACAUUAGCAUGGAAUAAUGAAAUAGGACGUUAAUCCUAUUUUGUUGGUUUCUAGGAUCGACGUAAUGAUUAAUAGGGAUAGUUGGGGGCAUUAGUAUUCAAUUGUCAGAGGUGAAAUUCUUGGAUUUAUUGAAGACUAACUACGGCGAAAGCAUUUGCCAAGGAUGUUUUCAUUAAUCUAGAACGAAAGUUAGGGGAUCGAAGACGAUCAGAUACCGUCGUAGUCUUAACCAUAAACUAUGCCGACGAGGGAUCGGAUGAUGUUAAUUUUUUAAUGACUCACUCC
rnacentral:rRNA from 1 species